ensembl:lncRNA
CUAAAGAAGAUGGAUCCUUGGGUAGACUGGUCAAUGACGAGCACAAAAAUCCCACCUGCAAAAUGAGAAUAAUUACAGUGAACCAGCAACCACAUCUUUGUCUUUUUGCUGUCCAAGACAUUAAACCAGGAGAAGAGAUUACUUACAGUUAUGGAGACUCGGAUUGGCCUUGGCGAGCCAAGCGUUCAUCACCUGCCCCUGUGACUGCUACAUCAUCCUCAUCCUCAUCUUUACCUGUGAGGAAACGUUCAUCACCUGCCCCUGUGACUGCUACAUCAUCCU